UUUAACAAACACUUCUUGGAAGCUUCUGUGACACCGAACAAUGACUACGUCCACGUUUGCCGUAAUGUCCUUGGUACUGUUUUCUGGUAUCCUGACUGGGCAAUGCAGUAGUACAAUACCAGUGAAAGAAAUUAUAGCUUGCAUGAAAAAAGAAUGCAGUGAAGCCUCAAGACACUGUGGUCUGAAUCAUGAAUGCUAUACAGAAGAAUGCAAUGAUGGGAUUAAAGUUUGUUUAAUGUAUGGAUUUAAUUUACUUUAUGAAAAUUCCAGUUACCACAGGAAGAAGGACUUCUCUGUGUACGAUCUGGUAGAAUGUGCAAUUGAUCAGUGCCUUGAUGGAGUUAAGGACGCUUCAAAACGUCUGAAGACAAAUUCUAUGCAGAAUAAAUCAGGUGCUGCUGAGUCUUUCUAUUCCUGCCUUAGAUCCGUGAGAGAAUGUGUUUAUGCUCAAAACAUAAAGGAUGAGCUGUGAAAGGAAUGAACGAAGUGAAUCUUCUCAGGGUGGAGAAAGCCACACCGGGCUUCACAGGGAGACGACUCAUUAUUUUAGACUCUUAACUGUUACUGUCAUACUCAGGUGUGCAUUCUCAUUUCACUUUAUAAUUUUAAUAAUUUAUUGUUUCCUCUGAAGAGCAUUCUGUUAUUUGCUCCUUGUCUCUGACACAGGUGAUUGCCAGUCUUAAACUAUAAUGGGAUAGUUGGGAGAAAUUCAGAAGCAUGUACAAUACUGUGUCAUUUAAAAAGGUACUGAUAAUAAUUACAUGGGGUUUGGGUUUGAAGUAUAUUAUUGCAUUACAUUACUACAGUUUGUUACUGUACUUAUGUUCUGAAAUAAGACAUUGUGGGUGUUUUACUUAGCUGAAAAGUGCUGCAAAAUAGUUCCCUGUUUUCCUUCUCAAAGCUAACACUAUGUUAUGUGCUGAUGAACUGUUUUGUGAAAGUUUGUGAUUUUAUUUUACUGCGUUCAAAAAUAAAAAGGAGUUAUUAAAUAACACA